rnacentral:rRNA from 1 species
AAGUCGUAACAAGGUUUCNGUAGGUGAACNUGCGGAAGGAUCAUUACUGAAUUGUCAAACGGGUUGUUGCUGGCCCUCAUAGGGGGCAUGUGCACGCUCUGUUUACACAUCCACUCACACCUGUGCACCCUCUGUAGUUCUAUGGUCUGGGGGACCCUGUCUUCCUUCUGUGGUUCUACGUCUUUACACACACACUGUAAUAAAGUUUUAUGGAAUGUACAUCGCGUCUAACGCAAUACAAUACAACUUUCAGCAACGGAUCUCUUGGCUCUCGCAUCGAUGAAGAACGCAGCGAAAUGCGAUAAGUAAUGUGAAUUGCAGAAUUCAGUGAAUCAUCGAAUCUUUGAACGCACCUUGCGCCCCUUGGCUAUUCCGAGGGGCAUGCCUGUUUGAGUAUCAUGAACACCUCAACUCUCAUGGUUUGCCAUGAUGAGUUGGACUCUGGGGGUUUUGCUGGCCUGUGGUCGGCUCCUCUCAAAUUAAUCAGCCUCCCAGUGUUUGGUGGCAUCACGGGUGUGAUAAAUAUCUACGCUCGCUGUUGUCUGCCAGGUAACCUUUGGUCACAAAGGUUUGCUGGAGCUCACAGAUGUCUCUCCUCAGCGAGGACAGCUUUUUUAACGUUCGAUCUCAAAUCAGGUAGGACUACCCGCUGAACUUAA